GGUGAAGGGAAUGGAAGGUAUCGUAAAAAUAAGCAUCGGCUAACUCCGUGCCAGCAGCCGCGGUAAUACGGAGGAUGCAAGCGUUAUCCGGAUUUAUUGGGUUUAAAGGGUCGGUAGGCGGGUAUUUAAGUCAGUGGUUAAAGCCUUCAGCUUAACUGUAGAAAUGCCAUUGAUACUGGAGACCUUGAGUGUAGUAGAAGUAGGCGGAAUAUGGCAUGUAGCGGUGAAAUGCAUAGAUAUGCAACAGAACACCGAUAGGGAAGGCAGCUUAGUAUGUUACAACUGACGCUGAGGCAAGAAAGCGUGGGGAGCGAACAGGAUUAGAUACCCUGGUAGUCCCCGCCGUAAACGAUGAUUACUCGCUGUGGGCGAUACACA
rnacentral:rRNA from 1 species